CUUUCACAGCCACUCACACAGCAGCAGCAGCACAAUGAUGAUGUCACUGACUCUCCUGCUGGCCACCCUGGGGCUCCUUGUUCAGGGUUCAUCAGGAGAAAUCAUCCUGACUCAGACUCCUGAAGCUCAGUCUGUUGUUCCAGGACAGACUGUCUCUAUCAGGUGUAAAUCCAGCACACUGAUAGGUGAUGACAUAAACUGGUACCUUCAGAAAUCUGGAGAAGCUCCUAAACUUCUGAUCUAUGAUACUACAUACCGUCAGUCUGGAGUUCCAGAUCGUUUCAGGGCAACAGCAGUUCAGACCGACUUCACUCUGAUCAUCAGUGGAGUUCAGGCUGAAGAUGCAGGAGUUUAUUACUGUCAGCAGCACAACAGCUACCCGUUCACACAGUGAAAACCCGUCGUACAAAAACCUCAGACAGCUGGAGAGGAACUGAUCUGACAGCUGCAGUCGCACAAAAAGCAUCAAGUUAUAAUCUGUUUAUUUCUAAAUGCAUACAAAUAUUUUUUCUACAUUUAAUGAUACUCAUUCUAUUGUUUUAUUAAUUGUUUUACAUAUUUUUAAAAACGUUAAACUUUUAACUUGAUUUAAAAGCAAAAACUAUCCGUCUGAAAUGAGAGUAAUAUAAAGGUCAAAAUCAUUUUACAUAAUUUUUUUUCCUCUUACAUCAAAUUAGACCAAUAAUAUUUUUAUUUCAGUUUUAUCUUUUUCAUGCAGUUUAUCAGUUUAACCCACUGACAACAUUUUGUCCUGUUUUGCUUCUGGCUUCUUCUUGAGUUUUGAUUAUUGAGAUUUUUAAAUAUUUGUUUUUAUUUUCAAGGUCAUUUCAAUGUUAACUUCCUUCAUGAGAUUUGCCCUGCAUUACUAUGAAAUACUGUCUCUACAAAAUUAAAUUAUAUUCAUUUAUUUAGUAAUUUAAUACAGAAUAAUUUAGUUUAAAUCCAAAUAUAGAGCAACUUUAAUUUUCACAGUCAUCAGCAGUAACUUUUAUCUGCAGUUUGCACUUUUGCAUCAAAGUUACACAUUCAUACAC